CUAAAUGCUAUGAAGGAAAGAGUAAUAAGUGAAAAUAUCUAAAGAGAGUCGGAUAAGGUGAAAGCCGAUGAUAUGGAAAUUUAUGAAUAUGGCUCCAGAGCAGGUUGUCUGAAGUAUAGUAGGAUAGCACGGUAACAACCGUUAUAUUGUAAAGUGAUAACAUAUUAUAUGAAGUCACUUAUUAAGGCUUUUACUGUGAAGUAAAGGUGAAUUAGAGUGGUACAGCGAAAUUUACGCCUCUAUA
rnacentral:ncRNA from 1 species